rnacentral:lncRNA from 1 species
UUCGGAGCAAUUCCGGCCACUGUAGGACGCGCACAAGCGACACGAAGUUCAACGAAAACUGCGCACUGAAACUAAAAUGCUUCAAAUUAACACAUCCGAUGCUCACAGACCCUAAAUGAGGUGAGCACUGUGAUCAGCACUGACCAAAGAUCACCGUGCUCACCUCCGGAGGCAUCAGGACAGCCUCGGAUCGCCGGAACAACGCACGCAAACCAGAAACAGUAGCCAAAAAGGCUCAAACGGAGCGACAUCGCCGAGAUAGCAGAUCGGGGCCUUCCCGACAGGAACCAAGGUGAGCACGGUGAUCAGCGAUGAGUCGCGAUCAUCGUGCUCCCUUCCGCAGAGGUCGGGAAGCCCUGAAAAGCACAGAACAUCAAACCCACUCAACUAAGCCCUAUUUCGGGCUUGGCUGGAGCAAGCUUGCUCCGGCCGGCUUCCGGCGGCACGGCGGCGCGCGCGGUGGCUAGGAUUGGGUGCGGGGAAGGGAAGGAACAAGGUGCUCACCUCAGGUGGCGGCUGGAAGUGGCGGCGGCGGCGGCGGAGCAAACCGAGCCCGCACCAGCUAGGGCUCGGGUUCCAAGGGCAGCUGCGGCCACGGCGGCGGUCGGGGCGCUCGGGGACGGCGGCGGAGGGUUGCCUGAGGCCGGAGGGAGGCGGCACGGAUGGCUCCGGGCGGUGGCAGCGCGAGGAAGAAGCCGCGAGCUCACCUCGGCCCGCACAAGUCUGGGGCGGCCGCGGGCUGGCCGAGGCGGCGACGGCGGCUCGCUGGGGUGGCGGCGACCGGCGGGGAGGGUCGCCGAGGGUGCGGGGACAGCAGCGGAAGCGGGCUCAGGCGGCGGCGGCCCGCGGGGAGGCCGCACGCAGGCCUAGGUCUGGGCUCGGCCUAGGAAGGAGCAGGCGGCCAGCUAAGGUGCGGCGGCGCUCGGC